rnacentral:rRNA from 1 species
CUACGGGAGGCUGCAGGAGUGAAAACUUUCCAAUGCGUUCACGCGUGAGAAGGGAAUCUGGAGUGGUUAUACUAAGUAUAACCUUUUGUUUAGGCUAAAGAUCUAGACGAAUAAGGAGUGGGCCAGACGGGUGCCAGCCGCCACGGUAAUACCCGCGCUCCAAGUGGUGAUCACUAUUAUUGGGCCUAAAGCGUCCGUAGCCGGCCUAGCCAGUUCUUGGUGAAAUCCUGCAGCUAACUGCAGGGCGUGCUGAGAAUACAGCUAAGCUUGAGACCGGGAGAAGGUAGGGGUAUUCCAUGUGUAGGGGUUAAAUCCUUUAAUCCAUGGAGGACCACCUGUGGCGAAGGCGCCUGCCUAGAACGGGUCUGACGGUGAGGGACGAAAGCUAGGGGAGCGAUUGGGAUUAGAUACCCCCGUAGUC